rnacentral:rRNA from 1 species
AUUGAACGCUGGCGGCAGGCCUAACACAUGCAAGUCGAACGGUAGCACAGAGAGCUUGCUCUCGGGUGACGAGUGGCGGACGGGUGAGUAAUGUCUGGGAAACUGCCCGAUGGAGGGGGAUAACUACUGGAAACGGUAGCUAAUACCGCAUAACGUCGCAAGACCAAAGAGGGGGACCUUCGGGCCUCUUGCCAUCGGAUGUGCCCAGAUGGGAUUAGCUUGUAGGUGAGGUAACGGCUCACCUAGGCGACGAUCCCUAGCUGGUCUGAGAGGAUGACCAGCCACACUGGAACUGAGACACGGUCCAGACUCCUACGGGAGGCAGCAGUGGGGAAUAUUGCACAAUGGGCGCAAGCCUGAUGCAGCCAUGCCGCGUGUAUGAAGAAGGCCUUCGGGUUGUAAAGUACUUUCAGCGAGGAGGAAGGGAGUGAGGUUAAUAACCUUAUUCAUUGACGUUACCCGCAGAAGAAGCACCGGCUAACUCCGUGC